rnacentral:ncRNA from 1 species
UGUUCGUAAAGGUAAACCACUCGAAAGGGUGGGACACAAAGCUAUAGGGCCCUCGGCCGCAAGGCACAGGGCAGCCAGUUGCCAAC